GCCGCAAUGGUGGAAUUGGUAGACACGAGGGACUUAAAAUCCCUUGGCCAGUAAUGGCUGUGCGGGUUCAAGUCCCGCUCGCGGCACC
rnacentral:tRNA from 1 species